AGCGAACGCUGGCGGCAGGCCUAGCACAUGCAAGUCGAACGAACCUUUCGGGGUUAGUGGCGGACGGGUGAGUAACACGUGGGAACGUGCCUUUAGGUUCGGAAUAACUCAGGGAAACUUGUGCUAAUACCGAAUGUGCCCUUCGGGGGAAAGAUUAAUCGCCUUUAGAGCGGCCCGCGUCUGAUUAGCUAGUUGGUUGAGGUAAUGGCUCACCAAGGCGACGAUCAGUAGCUGGUCUGAGAGGAUGAUCAGCCACAUUGGGACUGAGACACGGCCCAAACUCCUACGGGAGGCAGCAGUGGGGAAUCUUGCGCAAUGGGCGAAAGCCUGACGCAGCCAUGCCGCGUGAAUGAUGAAGGUCUUAGGAUUGUAAAAUUCUUUCACCGGGGACGAUAAUGACGGUACCCGGAGAAGAAGCCCCGGCUAACUUCGUG
rnacentral:rRNA from 1 species